UACAACCGCUCAGAGAAGGUUUAAGUAUCGAUUGAUCACCUUAAUGGCGAGUCUGAAUCUAAA
rnacentral:sRNA from 1 species